AAAAUGAUUCCAUAAGUACACAAUAGGAUUUUUGUAUUUAGAGGUUCUCCAGAAGGUCGCGCCCCCUGAAGGAACCAUAAUCAUUAUGGAAUUACACUGUAAAAUUUAAAUAAAAGCCCUCUCAUGUGAAGACUGGACAGUCUUAGACUUGAAUUCUGAUCACAAAUUGAUUGGCACUAAGUGUAAACCCCUGUCCACUUUCAGUAUAUUAAAAAAAGGCUUUCAAAAGAUGGUUGAAAUCAGUAAGUGUUGGGGCGGGUUUCUGGGGCAUAAGCUGACGUCGCUGAGCAUCAGAGGAACACGUGGUCACAGGAGAACAUCUCUUACUGGACACUCAUCUCGCCCAAUCUGUCCCAGCAUAACUCUGAGACAGGAAUGAGCUAAAAGUUUAAUGAAGGUUUAAUGCUCUGCAUGAUGAUGCAUAUCCUCCAGGGCUGUGGAGAUGAAGACUGACUGAGGGUGUUUUCCCUAGUGUGUAUGUGUGUGAGUGUGUCACAGCUGUCACUCAUCACCAGAAAGGGUAACAACAUUGGUGUACUACACAUUCUUCUCAAGCACUAGCUCCACAUCUAGACGUCUAGCCCACGUAUUAAGUUCAAAUUCUGAGUAAGAUUUUUUUUUUUUAUGGAUUCAAAACAUUUAUCCAAUUCAGUCACUCUAUCAAAAACAAAAACAAAUCAGGUAAAACAGUGGACUUUUAACAUAAAUACUUCUCACACACACAAAAAAGUACUUUUUUUGUUUACAUAUUUUGAACAUUAUUAACAGUACUUUAUAUAUAUAAAUAUAUAUUUAAACAAAGGAAGUGUGGGAAAGCACUUCUGUGUGCUCUCUUGAAAAUCAAAUAGUAGAGCAUGGUGGAUGCCAAUAUCAUAGGUUUGAUUCCCAGUGAAAUUACUAAUAAAAAUAUAUACUUUCAACACAAUGUAAAUACCCUUUAGAGGGUAUGAAAAACUGACAUAAUGCAGAACAUUAAAUUAUUUUUUUAUUUUGGGUCUGUGCAGCUGCCUUUAACAAUGAAAUAUGUCAAAUUGACCCACAAACAUACAUUAUAAUCAUAAUAUAACUUCCAUAUGCACAUUCCACAACACACCAGAGUGCAGGCAUGUUCAUGAACCUAAAUGAGAAAAAGGCACAAAACUUUAAAAAGAAAAGAAAAGAAAAGAAAAACAUUACCAUUAACCAUCUGCCAUUUUGCAUUUUGUGCAGUUCAUGUCAGCAGUUUAUUCUCAUGAAACAUGUUGAUUGAACAGUUUACUAAACCAGUUGGAGCACCUUGUGCUUUCAGUCUUGUUUCUGAUUUAAUCUGAGCAGGAUUGUUUUGUUGGAGUUCAGCUCAGUCAAGCUCUUUGCUGAAACUGUGAACUUUAUAUCUGUAUUCUGCUAGAAAAGAGGCUGGGCCUCAGGGCCCACAGUUAACCAAUAACAUCAUGUACUAUCAGAGAAAAGAUAAAAAGAUGAACAGAUUAAAAGCAUUCUCACUGAUUAGAUUUCUUUUCCAGCUCCUUGGUAUGCUAAGACACUCUUACAUCUGCCUUGAGUUGAUCCAUUUAAUUACCGCAAUAAAAGUAAAGCAAGAACCCCUUCUCUGGCCUCGCCGUGACAGAGUCCUGGUCUCUCUGUCAGUCAUGUUUGUUGCGAGGGGAGUGAUGAUGCUAAUUAUGAGUGUGAUGCAUCCACAGGAUAUUGCAGCCAUGGUGCUUAGUUGGCAGUGUGGACAGGUGGCAUCUCAUGCAUAUUCAUGGACCAGCCCUCGUUCGCUGACAGCACCGGUAUGACAGAGAACAUGGUAUUUUUAGGACCCUGCAAUGGACUGGGCAUCCGUUCAGGUGUACCCUGUCUGUGGCCCAAGAUGGAGAGGCUCCAGCCCCCUGCGAACCUGCAGAAGAUAAGCGGAGAGUAAAUCUUGAAGUCAGCAUUACACAGUGAAACAGGAUUUGUGGGGAAUUUGAAUCACUUACAGAUCAAUAUACAUUCUCAGCAGUCCUGCCUUCAGGAAUGAAUGCACAUGGUACACAUUAUGCCCUCAGAGACCCACCUAUAACAUGUUUCUCCAAACAGAAACCAACCACCUUCACUGAUCCUCUUGUGUUGAAUUCUAACCACAUUAAACAAUUACUGGGCCUCAUUAUGUCUGCAAAUGAAUGGCACAGAGAAGCAUCUGAGAACAGCUCAUCAUUUUUAAAGAACUUCAAAAGGAUGGGGUUACCUUCUGGCUCGGUGGAAAACUUUGAUGUCUCCACGUCCCAUCAGUGAUGCGCUUCUUUCAUGUUACAGAGGCAGUUUAUUGAUUUUAGAUAAACCAAAUGAGACCAUUAAUUAAAUCAGGCUUCAUACUCCCUGACAUCUGUGUUGCAUCAUUGAAUAUCACCAGCACCCAGGUACUGUUGUUCUUGUAAUAACGUAUGGGCUUUCUCAAUGAACAUGACAUUAGACACACCAGACUGUGCAUUUUGGGGUAUAUGCAUAAAUCCUUUAUCGUAAACCUAACUAUGGAGCAUGUAGACAUACUUGUCAUUAUGUACUAGGUAUUUGGUACAACACAGAUCCUCCCUGGAUCAGGACGUAGCUCCAAACUAGAUGAAAGAGCCAAGAGGAAACUGGUCAGGGAGAAUACCAAGAGGCCUACAGCAACGCUGAAGCAGUUGCAGGAAUUUAUGACAAAGAGUGGUCAUUGUGUGCAUGUGACAACAAUAUCAUAAAUUUUCCACAAAUGUGACUUGUAUGGAAGCAUUGCAAGAAAAAGCCAUUCCUCAAGAAAGGCCUCAUGCAGUCUGCUGAGCUGAGCUAUUCCUGUUCUUGGUGUUUCUCUGCAGCAGGGACUGGAGCUCUUGUCAGGAUAGAGGGAAAAAUGGAUGGGGGCAAAAUACCAUCAAAUUCUUGAGGAAAACCUGCUGCCCUCUGCCAGAAAGUUGUCAAUGGGAAGAAGAUUUACCUUCCAACAUGACAAUGACCCAAAGCACACGGCAAUACUGUAUGGUUGAAAGCACAGUGGUUAAAGGAGAAAAAGGUGAAUGUCCUUGCAUUGCCCAGUCAGAGCCCAGACUUAAACCCCAUUAUCUUUGGAAUGUCUUGCAGACUGCAGUCCAAAAACGGUAACCAUCAAAUUGAACUGUGUUCUGCAAAGAAGAGUGGACAAAUAUUGCAAAGUCUAGAUGUGCAAAGUUAGUAGAGACAUAUCCCAACAGACUAAAGGCUGUAAUUAAAGCAAAAGGUGGUUCAACAAAAUACUGACACAAGGGCGUGAUCCUUUUUCUAAAUCAGUGAUUUUGUUGUUAUACAGUAUAUUUCACUUAGAUGUUAUAAUUUGCACUGAGUAAAUACGGUUGGCUGAGACAAAAUCUGUGUCUGUCUUCAUUUCAGGUUGCAAAGCAACAAAAUGUGAUUAUUUUAAAGGAGGGUGAUUCUUUUCUAUACCCACUGUAGAAGGUAAAGAAUUUGAACCUGGGAAGUUUCCACAUCCAGGGUUUUUUGAGCCAGUCACCUUUGCCGUAAAAACAUGUGACUACUUCCUCUGGACUGCAAUGCAAUGCAACUUUUGAUUGGCUAGUAAUAGAUCAAGAUUCUUUAUGGUGAAGUUAUGGCAUCUAUCAGAAGGGGCUAAUAAGGCAAUGUUAUCCAGUCAAACUUUGAUUUAUUGGCCUCACCAACAGACACAUUUAUAAAUAAAGUAAUUCAAUUAAGGUAAAAUUGUGCACUUCUUCAAUCUAAAUAAAAACUAUUCAUGAAACUUGGAAUAUAAAACUGCACCAGUCCUGUGGCUGUGAAUAGACGUUUUCUCCUGGUUCAGCACCAAUAAAAUCAUUUUAUAAAUCUCCCCCUCAGAAUCAUAAUGUUGCGUAACGAUGGGCUCCAAGCUGUGGU